rnacentral:rRNA from 1 species
UACGGGGGGGGCAAGCGUUGUUCGGAAUUACUGGGCGUAAAGGGCUCGUAGGCGGCCAACUAAGUCGGACGUGAAAUCCCCAGGCUCAACCUGGGAACUGCGUCUGAUACUGGAUGGCUUGAAUCCGGGAGAGGGAUGCAGAAUUCCAGGUGUAGCGGUGAAAUGCGUAGAUAUCUGGAGGAAUACCGGUGGCGAAGGCGGGUCUCUGGGCAGUAACUGACGCUGAGGAGCGAAAGCGUGGGGAGCGAACAGG